rnacentral:lncRNA from 1 species
UUUCUUUCUUUCUUUCUUUUUUUUUUUUUUUUUGUGGUACGCGGGCCUCUCACUGUUGUGGCCUCUCCCGUUGUGGAGCACAGGCUCCGGACGCGCAGGCUCAGCGGCCAUGGCUCACGGGCCCAGCCGCUCCGCGGCAUGUGGGAUCUUCCCGGACUGGGGCUCGAACCCGUGAGGGUGGGCACUUUCUAAGUGUCAGCCUCUGUUCAAGGCUCUACCUGUGUUAACACCUUUAGUUCCCACCGUGUGUCAUUGAGGGAAAAAUAGUUGUUAUUCCCAUUUUACAGGUGAGACAAUCAGAGAGAUUAAGUAACUUGUUCAAGGGUCAGUCAGUGAGCAGAAGAGGGGGAUUCAAACUCCAGAGCCCAGCCUCUUAACUGCUGUCCUCUGCUGCUUCUCCAUUUUCAGAUAUGAUGUUUAUUAUUUUUGCAAUGAUCAUAGCUCCUAUAUUAUUUCCCAUUUCAUAGAUGAAGAAACCAGGGUUCAAAGAGCAUUCACAGCUGCCCCAGGUCACACAGCCAAGCGAGUGGCAGAGCUGGGACUUGGACUCACGUCCGUCAGACUCUGCAGCCUGAACCCUGCCUCCCAGGAAGGGGAAGGAGUGAGAAAAGAAAAGUACAGCUGGAAACAUCUGACCCGUUGCGUCUGCUGGGAGGAAGGAGGCUGCGGGCUGCAGGACAGCGAACAGCAGCGGCAGGGGAAGCUUCAGGCUAUGGUCGUCCAUCUCCUGCUCAGACUGCCUUACUCGAAGGGGAACAGACAGACACACAGGACAGGGUAAGUCAGAGUAGGCCUCACUGCACCAAUGUGUCUCCCCCUGACCAGGUCCCCCCGACCCCCGACGGAAAUCUUGCUAUUGGAUGGUCUCAUUUUUUGAAGGUGAAAUUGCAUCUCGAAAUCUCUUCUUUACCAAGGCAGAUAAUUGUGGGAGGUGUGACUACUUCCCAUCUCAAAGAGAAAAAGUUCUUACCGUGACCCACAAGGCCCUGUGUGAAAUGCAGCCCCCACUCCCUGGGUGGGCUGCACAAUCUUUGGGGCCCAGUACAAGAUGACACACUGGCCCCUGCAUUAUUG